rnacentral:rRNA from 1 species
AUUGAACGCUGGCGGCAGGCCUAACACAUGCAAGUCGAACGAGUGGCGGACGGGUGAGUAAUGUCUGUGAAACUGCUUGAUGGAGGGGGAUAACUACUGGAAACGGUAGCUAAUACCGCAUACCAUCAGAUGUGCCCAGAUGGGCUUUGCUUGUUGGUGGGGUAACGGCUCACAAAGGCGACGAUCCCUAGCUGGUCUGGGAGGAUGACCGGCCACACUGGAACUGGGACACGGGCCAGACUCCUACGGGAGGCAGCAGUGGGGAAUAUUGCACAAUGGGGGCAAUCCUGAUGCAGCCAUUCCGGGUGUAGGAAGAAGGCCUUCGGGUUGUAAAGUACUUUCAGCGAGGAGGCGUUACCCGCAGAAGAAGCACCGGCUAACUCCGUGCCAGCAGCCGCGGUAAUAC